rnacentral:sRNA from 1 species
UGACUAGAUCUCAUGUGUAACAUUAUGUAUAAGAACUAGAACCGCAACCGGAUCUUAAAACCUUAAGAAGUGUUUCCUUGUUAGAAGAUACAAACCCAAAGACACAUACUGAAUUCGGCAACACCAUCAAAGCUUUGAGAAGCAAGCAGAAGCUUGGAUAGUGUUUUU